rnacentral:rRNA from 1 species
UACGUACCGUCCAAACGUUAUUCAGAAUUACUGGGCUUAAAGGGUUUGUAGGCGGCGCUGUUAGUCGGGUGUGAAAUCCCAGGGCUCAACCCUGGAACUGCGCCCGAUACUGCAGUGCUUGAGGGAGACAGAGGUAAGCGGAACUGAUGGUGGAGCGGUGAAAUGCGUUGAUAUCAUCAGGAACACCAGUGGCGAAAGCGGCUUACUGGGUCUCUUCUGACGCUGAGAAACGGAAAGCUAGGGGAGCGAAGGGG